rnacentral:rRNA from 1 species
AGUGAACGCUGGCGGUAGGCCUAACACAUGCAAGUCGAACGGCAGCACAGUAAGAGCUUGCUCUUACGGGUGGCGAGUGGCGGACGGGUGAGGAAUACAUCGGAAUCUACUUUUUCGUGGGGGAUAACGUAGGGAAACUUACGCUAAUACCGCAUACGACCUACGGGUGAAAGCAGGGGAUCUUCGGACCUUGCGCGAUUGAAUGAGCCGAUGUCGGAUUAGCUAGUUGGCGGGGUAAAGGCCCACCAAGGCGACGAUCCGUAGCUGGUUUGAGAGGAUGAUCAGCCACACUGGAACUGAGACACGGCCCAGACUCCUACGGGAGGCAGCAGUGGGGAAUAUUGGACAAUGGGCGCAAGCCUGAUCCAGCCAUACCGCGUGGGUGAAGAAGGCCUUCGGGUUGUAAAGCCCUUUUGUUGGGAAAGAAAAGCAGCAGGUUAAUAACCCGCUGUUCUGACGGUACCCAAAGAAUAAGCACCGGCUAACUUCGUG